UCUCCUCCUCUUGUCCCACAGCCGCGACCCCCAACCCUCUCGCUCCUCCUCCGUCUCAAUCUCUCGAUCCCCGACCACCACUGCCGCCGUCCUUCGUCCUCUCCCCCAACCUUGUCCGCCGGCGACCCCUCCCCUCCCCUUCUCUCCCACGACCGCGGUCGGAUCCGCGUUCCCUUCUCGCUCGUGACCUAGACCUAGCAGCAUGGCACGACCAUGGCCAUGGCGGCGGCCAGAUCCGCCCCCUCCCCUGCUCCGUUCCCUCGACGCCGGCGGUCAUUCUCCCUUAGGCCACCCGCCCCCCUUCCUCCUCCCGCAGCAGCUCACCCGCAGCCUUCCCCGUGGCUCUAGGGUUUUGGGGGCAGUGGCGCCUCCAUUGCCGGCAUGGCUCCGGUGACUCUACAGCCUCCCCCCCUGACAUCUACCAAUCUGAGACAGCUGUGUCUCCGACUUGUCGCUUCCCAAUGGCUGCUGCUGGACCGGAUCCCUCCUCUUUGCAUGGAUGCUUCCUCGACUCUCCCUCCUCCCCAACAAGGCCGCCGUCGGACACCUUCUUCCCCGACAGCGCCGGCCGCAGAUCCACUCCUCCAUUUUCUUCUCACGGUUAUCCGCAGCAUAUAUGACUCAGAUCUAACCUUUUUGUUGUGUGUCUGGUUUUUCAGGAUGUGGGUGGUGCAGUGGCCGCAAGAACACGAUCGGCAGCGUCUAGGUCGGGUCGACUAGGGCGGCUGACAGCGGUGGCUACUUCCUUACAAGGACUACAAGCUCGCCCAUGACUACACGACCCUCCAGGUCCCAUCUGCAUGCUCGCUCCCUCCAGGUCCCAUCUGACUGCUCAGGGUGGACGAAUUGUAGUUUUAUGCAUGUAACUCAGUCUGCUUGGACAACACUAGCAUGUUACUAUGUACUACUACUGUUCAAGAAGUUUCAUGAGUUGCUAGUGCCGCACUUCUCUAGUUUCAUUGAUGGUGUUUAACAGUACUUGCCCUUGUAUCCUUUAUUCAAUCUCGGAUUUCAUCAUAAAUCAUAAUGGACUACUCUUCUGUUGAAUGUUGAUUGGCGCACUAUUCUGUUGUUGCCAAGUAGAGGAAUAAGAGGAUAUAUGAAGUUUACUAAUGAUGUUUCAUGCAAGUGGGGUUACCCAAUGUUGGCAAAUCAACUUUCUUUAACAUAGUAACAAAGGCGGGCUCCCGCGCUGGCAACUCUAGGCUUGCGAUGAAGAAGAUCAAGGCUGAGAAGGACCCCAACAAGCCCACGUGUCCCCGAGCACUUUUUUCAUCUUCAUCUGAGUCCCAGUCUCGGUUCUUGGUUCGAUUCAUGUUGCUUCUGUGGUGUGGUGUCGCGUACUGACCGAGGAUUUGGUGCAUGUUUCAUCUUUGCAGGGACAACUUUAGGAAGGAGUACAAGGAGAAUCACCCCGACAUCAAGAAGGUCUCCUUGAUCGGCAAGGCCGGUGGUGAGAAGUGGAAGUCCAUGAGUGAUGCUAUAAGUUGCAUGUCUCCCCUCCCCUCUCUGUUACCGCUCAAUUGGGUGUCGGUUUACUCGUUUCUACCGCUUCGUCCCCCAUCCGCCUCUGUCUCGUUGUUCGUUCAAACUGGUGGCGCUGCGAGAUGAGUUUCCUCGUUAAUUCCGUGUCCUGAUAUGGUUUAGCUUGGUUGAAUUACAGAUCGGCAAGGCCGGUGGUGAGAAGUGGAAGUCCAAGAGUGAUGCUAUAAGUUGCAUGUCUCCCCUCCCCUCUCUGUUACCGCUCAAUUGGGUGUCGGUUUACUCGUUUCUAUCUUAGUUUGCCUAGUGUUCGAACCAGUUGGUCAGUUAGAUUUUGAAUGGUAGUAGCAGCAAACUGAUUUUUAUCAAAUAUAUCUCUAUUACCGCUCAAUUCGGUGCCGGUUUUCCAAUGGCAGUAGCAGCACACUGAUUUUUAUCAAUUAUAUCUUAUGCGAAGUUUAAGCGUAAUGUGUUGUAGUGAAGUAUUUUGCAUGACUUGCACUUGUGCAAUUAAUAUUCAUAUUGUGUCUAUGUUUUCUUGUAUGAAUGAGUAUCUCAUUUUGACUAGCUGGAGAACGAAAAGCAUGGUACUAGCUGAAUUUCUGUUGUCAUUUUAAAUGACUGUCCUUUUUUGAAACCCUUCCUAAUUUGUUUGCAGCCCUUCCUAAUUUUUUGUUCUUGUUCUAUUUGGAAAUGGAUGCAGCAGGUGCUCUUCUCUUGCACACGUCUGGCACCGACUCCGGCGCGUGGUGCUUCUUGAGGUGACUGGCAUGAUGGCGGUUAUGUACGGCGGCGACCACAAGCCCUCCGGUGAGUCGGCUCCAUCUUCUAGCCCUAGCUCCUGCUUUUCUGCUCCUGUAGCAUGCUCUGUUGGUUUAGAACACUAGCAGCAGUAGCGUACCAUGUAUGCGUACUAAACAGCAGGAGUUCAAUCACCUUGUGUACACUAGCAGCUUGCUUACAUAGAUUUCACUUUUGCUUGUGGUAGCCAUUAUGUCGUUGAAUCAUGUCUGUGUGUACUAAUCAUCAGUUAAUAGUAUUUGGCUUCUACGUGAUGGUCUGGGACUAAUUUAUGGUGAUGUGGAUAUACUUUGUGAUUUAAAGUUACUAAUCCAUGGUCUGCUGUCAUAUUAUGGUCUAAUAUUUUUUGUUUUGACUCUUUCUCCGGUGCGAGGAAAGCUGUGAGUAGAUGUUGAUGAUGCCAACUGGCUUGGCUGCUACCGUGAUGCAUGCGCCGGUCAAGCAAGACACAUGCAUAUACGUACAUGUCAGCAUAGUAGCAGAUAUUCCCUCUGUUCCUGCUAUAUUCAUGUGUAAAUGUAUUUCUGAGAUGAUUUUGUUGUGUUAUGUAAACCUGGGAGAUGUCUUAUGUGAUGUGAUAUGAUGCAUGAUUUCAAUUCGACAUGGAGUUUUCCUGAUUUGAAUAUGAACAAGGUCGGAUGCAUGUGUAUAACUAGAUU